AGAGUUUGAUCCUGGCUCAGGAUGAACGCUAGCGAUAGGCCUAACACAUGCAAGUCGAGGGGCAUCACAUGAAGUAGCAAUACGGAUGGUGGCGACCGGCGCACGGGUGAGUAACACGUAUGCAACCUGCCUUCAACAAGGGGAUAACCCGUUGAAAGACGGACUAAUACCCUAUAACACAGGGGUCCCGCAUGGGAAUAUUUGUUAAAGGACAACCGGUUGAAGAUGGGCAUGCGUUCCAUUAGCUAGUUGGCGGGGUAACGGCCCACCAAGGCAACGAUGGAUAGGGGAACUGAGAGGUUUAUCCCCCACACUGGUACUGAGACACGGACCAGACUCCUACGGGAGGCAGCAGUGAGGAAUAUUGGUCAAUGGGCGCAAGCCUGAACCAGCCACGUCGCGUGAAGGAAGACGGCCCUACGGGUUGUAAACUUCUUUUGCAAGGGAAUAAAGUGGGCCACGUGUGGCCUUUUGCAAGUACCUUGCGAAUAAGGAUCGGCUAACUCCGUGCCAGCAGCCGCGGUAAUACGGAGGAUCCGAGCGUUAUCCGGAUUUAUUGGGUUUAAAGGGUGCUCAGGCGGGACAUUAAGUCGGCGGUGAAAUUUUGCGGCUCAACCGUAAAAGUGCCUUCGAAACUGGUAUCCUUGAGUGUGGAUGAGGUAGGCGGAAUUUGUGGUGUAGCGGUGAAAUGCACAGAUAUCACGAGGAACUCCGAUUGCGCAGGCAGCUUACUAAGCCAUAACUGACGCUCAAGCACGAAGGCGUGGGGAUCAAACAGGGAUUA
rnacentral:rRNA from 1 species